UCUGUCUUUAUCGAAUCACCGUUUGUCAUGUCGUCAUAAUUCUUUUGGUAUUGCUCAGGAUUUAUCAUUACAGUAAGCAAUGGAUUGAAACGAAAGUAAAUUUCCGGUUAACAUAUUGAAUAAAAGCAUGUGUUUAGCUUCUUUUUGAGACUUGAGGGAUGAUGUUGAUAACAAGACUUAUCUAUUGGUAUCAGAAAGCGUCCAUUGCGCGUACCAGGGUGGUUGCUUGUCCUAAUGCAUUAACAAGAACAGGGUUAAAACUUGUCAUGAACCAAAUCAGUUGGAACAUAAAACAUCUUGCUGAUCAGAUCUACAUGUAGCCUUUUCAUUAAAGCAGGCUUGGACCUUUUUAUGACUGGAAGAUCCAAUAAACAUCACUAUUGUAAAAUAUGCAUUCAUGUAUGGCUUGAAAUAAGUAAUAUACUCAUUCAUUUCUUAAACACAUCUAUUUAAAACUUGUAGGCCAAAGUUAAAGCAAAGGAAUUGAGGGGUAAAAAGAAAGAUGAACUUGUGAAGCAGCUUGAUGAACUGAAAAAUGUAAGUAUGAGAAAAGUGAUGAUGUAUUACUUCAAGGCCUUUCCGGCUUAAACUUAAAAAGUACCUGUAAUAGUUGAACCAAAAACAGGUUGAAUAGUGAUUGAAGAACUUAAUUAAGUGCAUGAAAAAAUCAACCUUUCUAGGUUGUUAACAACAAAUUAUUGGCUUUGACCUAAACUUACAUACACCAAUGCAAUUAUGAUAGAUAUAUAUAAAAAAUAAGAUGUGGUAUGUUUGCCAAUGAGACGACUUUUCACAAGACACCAAAUGACACUGAAAUUAACAGCUACAGGUCACCAUAUGGCUUUCAACAUGAAUGAGCAAAGCCCAUAUAGCAUAGUCAGCUAUAAAAUCACAAAUAUUAAACAAUUCAAAAGUGAAAACUAAACCAUAAUUAAUGUACGAAAACAAAUAGUAUUUUUUUUUAUUUUACUGUGUUUCUUUCACCUGGUUUAAAAGUUGGUAGAAGAAACAUUUUUUUAUAUUCUAUUUGACAGGGUUGGAUAACAAAAUCAUGUGUUUGGCUGUCAAUUCAUAUAAUUCUCUUGAUCAUGAUAUCUUCUUUCUCAGUAUCCUGUGUCAAACCCUGCUUUAGGACAAUUUAUUUAAAAUGAGUAGAAAAAUUCUUAAUUAAAAUCAGGAUUGUACGGUUCAUCCUAACUUUCAAAUUUCUCUAUAUUUUAGGAGCUUGCUACACUUAGAGUUGCUAAAGUAACAGGUGGAGCAGCAUCAAAGUUGUCAAAGAUGUAAGU
rnacentral:lncRNA from 1 species